AACGCACCUUGCGCUCCUUGGUAUUCCGAGGAGCAUGCCUGUUUGAGUGUCAUUAAAUUCUCAACCUUAUCAGCUUUUGUUGAUAAUGGCUUGGAUGUGGGGGUUUUGCUGGCUUCGUCAAGAGGUCUGCUCCCCUUAAAUGCAUUAGCCGGUACCCUGCGUGGACUGUCUAUUGGUGUGAUAAUUAUCUACGCCGUGGAUGUCUGCUCUUUAUGGGUUGUACUGCUUCUAACCAUCCAUUUAGUUGGAUAAUCAAUGACAAUUUGGCCUCAAAUCAGGUAGGACUACCCGCUGAACUUAA
rnacentral:misc_RNA from 1 species